GCGCCUGUAGCUCAGUGGAUAGAGCGUCGGACUUCGAAUCCGUGCGUCGCAGGUUCGACUCCUGCUAGGCGCGC
rnacentral:tRNA from 1 species